ACUUAGGUAGUUUAAGAAAAAUGUCGGUCUGUGAAUCCGAAGUUGUGAAUAGCACCUUGAGUA
rnacentral:tRNA from 1 species